GGCCUCAUCGUAUAACGGCAAUUAUGCCGGCUUGUCGCGCCGGAGAUAGGGGUUCAACUCCCCUUGAGGUCGCCA
rnacentral:tRNA from 1 species